rnacentral:rRNA from 1 species
AAUGAACGUUGGCGGCGUGGAUUAGGCAUGCAAGUCGAGCGGGACUCCGCAAGGGGUUCAGCGGCGAAAGGGAGAGGAACGCGUGGAUACCUACCCCCAGACCUGGGAUAGCUACGGGAAACUGUAGGUAAUACCAGAUAAUGUCUCCGGACCAAAGGUGUGAUUCCGUCCGGGGAGGGGUCCGCGACCUAUUAGCUAGUUGGCGGGGUAAUGGCCCACCAAGGCAAAGAUGGGUACUGGGUGUGAGAGCACGACCCAGCUCACUGGGACUGAGACCCUGCCCAGACACCUACGGGUGGCUGCAGUCGAGAAUCUUCGGCAAUGGACGCAAGUCUGACCGAGCGACGCCGCGUGCGGGAUGAAGGCCUUCGGGUUGUAAACCGCUGUCGGAGGGGAUGAAUGGCGUGAGGGUAAUCUCUCACGUUUGACAGAUCCUAGGAGGAAGUACGGGCUAAGUUCGUGCCAGCCGCCGCAGUAAUAC